rnacentral:rRNA from 1 species
AUUGAACGCUGGCGGCAGGCUUAACACAUGCAAGUCGAGCGGGGGAAGGUAGCUUGCUACCGGACCUAGCGGCGGACGGGUGAGUAAUGCUUAGGAAUCUGCCUAUUAGUGGGGGACAACAUCUCGAAAGGGAUGCUAAUACCGCAUACGUCCUACGGGAGAAAGCAGGGGAUCUUCGGACCUUGCGCUAAUAGAUGAGCCUAAGUCGGAUUAGCUAGUUGGUGGGGUAAAGGCCUACCAAGGCGACGACCUGUAGCGGGUCUGAGAGGAUGAGCCGCCACACUGGGACUGAGACACGGCCCAGACUCCUACGGGAGGCAGCCGUGGGGAAUAUUGGACAAUGGGGGGAACCCUGAUCCAGCCAUGCCGCGUGUGUGAAGAAGGCCUUAUGGUUGUAAAGCACUUUAAGCGAGGAGGAGGCUACUCUAGUUAAUACCUAGGGAUAGUGGACGUUACUCGCAGAAUAAGCACCGGCUAACUCUGUGCCAGCCGCCGCGGUAA